rnacentral:lncRNA from 9 species
UGAAACCCCACCCCCACUCCAUGUGGGCAAGAUUCUGAUUGAUUUUAGCAGAACAAAGGGACAAUUGCAUCUCAUUUGAAACCCAGAUGAGGCACUCUUUAUUUCAUUCUAAAUUGGGAGCGAUAACAGUUGGGUGGCCAUUACUUGAAGGGGGAGAAAUCAAACAACACCAAUAUUGAACAGGGCUGGUGUACAGUGGCUAUUUUCUGGGAUGGAACUGGUUAACCAAGAAUUGAAAAGUCAUCCUCCGGUAGCCUGAACAGGAAUCUGCAGUCUGCAAACACUUAUUCCCAUCAACACUGCUCUAAGGAGGUGCCGAAAUGCAGGGUCCCUCAUUCUGAUCUUGUGUCUGUCCUGGUAUGAAUUAACCGAGGGGAACAGGAAAUGGAUCGACACUGUUCAUAAGUGAGGAGGGCAGGCAGGAGGGGAGGUCCUUCUGCUUUCAAUCAAGAGAGAGAGUACAAUCGGAGGCGUCAUCAGCACAUCUCGACCAUCGGUAAACCCAGGCUUCUUCAGGGAGCUGGACUUCUUUAUGGAUGAAAUUACAUACUUUUGGUCAAAUGAGAAGUCAAGCAUACCAGGUCUUUUUUCAGAGACUGACUUCAGCAGCAACUAUGGCAAUACUUUCAGAAUUUAUUAGCUUCUGGAAAAAAAGGAUGAGACUUGAAGAGGAAGCCUACAACAACAUUUAUUCUGGACCUCAGUCUAAUCUGAAGCUACACAUCUGGGAAGGCAAGAGCUCAGGUGGAAUUGUUUGUCUGGGGCUGAAGGAUCUGCUUCAACCUGGUUCAUCCACAUGCCUGGUAGUGGGUGAGGAAUCCUGUCAAGAGACUUCAUUUCCUCAUCAUGCAGACCUCUCUACGGGGCUGAGUGUUCUCACGACAUGGAAGAUGGCUCUCUCCAGAAAGAGUGAUCUAAGAGUGAUCUACAGAGUAAAAGCUGUAAUUUUCUCAUGCCCUAGCCCUAGGAGCUACUCUUUAUCAUUCCCACAGUAUUUUACUGGUUACCCAAGUCAGUGCUCAUCAAUGUAAAAGAAUGCCAGAAGGCAUGAAUCAUGGGGGGCCGUCUUAGAAGCUGGUCACUGCAGUGUAUCACAGCACUUAAGAUUACUCCAUAAAGUGCAACUGCAGUACUCUAACAGUUUUCUAAAGCAGAAUUUCCCCUUUACCUCCAUACAGAUCAUUUGAGAUAGAACACUGGCACUUCUGGGAUUUUAUAUUAUAUUGUCACUAGAAAUUUUAUUCCACACCACAAGACUCUCAAACCAUGGAUGUAGUGCUGUAACAGAUAUACAUCCUAUUCAUUCUUCUCUCUGG